rnacentral:tRNA from 3 species
GCGGGUGUAGCUCAACGGCUAGAGCCCCAGCCUUCCAAGCUGGUGGUGCGGGUUCGAUUCCCGUCACCCGCUCCA